rnacentral:rRNA from 1 species
UACGUAGGGUGCAAGCGUUGUCCGGAAUUAUUGGGCGUAAAGCGCGCGUAGGCGGUUACUCAAGUCGGAUGUGAAAGCCCUCGGCUUAACUGAGGAAGUGCACCCGAAACUGAGUAGCUAGAGUACCAAAGAGGGUCGCGGAAUUCCCGGUGUAGAGGUGAAAUUCGUAGAUAUCGGGAGGAACACCGGUGGCGAAGGCGGCGACCUGGGUGGAUACUGACGCUGAGGCGCGAAAGCGUGGGGAGCAAACAGG